UCAAUGCACGUAACUAACGUGAGGUUAAUCCAGUCAAUCGCGCCAUAGCAAUGUUUUAUUUUUAUGUUGGCAGGGUUUACACACAAACUAGCUGAAUUUGCAGAGCUAGCGGGCAAACAUGAACUAUUAAGCUAGCUAGUAUAUAUUCCAUUUAUGUGGCGUCGUCAAAGAUGGAAUCUUUUCUAUCGUCAGUUUAUUCCAAGAUCAGCAUGCAGCUGUAGUGCUUCAAAGACCCUGUGAAAAGAUCAGGCAACAGAAGGCACACAGACAGCAGAGCUGGGGACAGAUGGGCAGGGACAGACUGGCAGAGACAGGGAGUCUCGGGAGACAGACUGUGAGGCAGUGAGGGUGGUGAAAGGGAAAGAGCCAAGGAGAGAGACUUCAGAGGACAGUGUCACAGCCACGGCAGGACCAGGUGUCAACCUUGUUUCCAGCAGCACCGGUAUAGGGGACAGUGGCACAGCCACGGCAGGACCAGGUGUCAACCUUGUUUCCAGCAGCACCGGUAUAGGUGACAGUGGCACAGCCACGGCAGGACCAGGUGUCAACCUUGUUGCCAGCAGCACCGGUAUAGGGGACAGUGUCACAGCCACGGCAGGACCAGGUGUCAACCUUGUUUCCAGCAGCACCGGUAUAGGGGACAGUGUCACAGCCACGGCAGGACCAGGUGUCAACCUUGUUGCCAGCAGCACCUGUUUAGGGGACAGUGUCACAGCCACGGCAGGACCAGGUGUCAACCUUGUUGCCAGCAGCACUGGUAUAGGGGACAGUGUCACAGCCACGGCAGGACCAGGUGUCAACUUUGUUGCCAGCAGCACCUGUAUAGGGGACAGUGUCACAGCCACAGCAGGACCAGGUGUCAACCUUGUUGCCAGCAGCACCGGUAUAGGGGACAGUGUCACAGCCACGGCAGGACCAGGUGUCAAUCCUUGUUGCCAGCAGCACCGGUAUAGGGGACAGUGGCACAGCCAUGGCAGGACCAGGUGUCAACCUUGUUGCCAGCUGCACCAGUAUAGGGGACAGUGUCACAGCCAUGGCAGGUUUCGCGAUUUCCCCUGGCUACAUUAUAAUCCAUCAGUAAAAGGAGUUUUGUGUUUUCACUGUAGCCAAGGGUUUUAAAGCCAGCAAUCUUUUGGCCAAAGAGCAGAUGCUGCCUUCAUUAGUGCAGGAUUUAGGAAGUGGAGAAAAGCCAUUGUAAAAUUCACAGCACACCAAAACUGCCAAACCCACCACCACUGUGUAACUGUAACAGCACACCAGCUAAAUCCAAUCAGUGUCCAGGUAUCCAGCGCGUGGGGUAAACAGCAGAAAUUACGAAAGCUACCUUGCACUGUAUGAGAAAGCAACAACAUUGAUUGAAUCCAUUGAAACACACUCAAGACGAUUUGCUGGCAAAGCAGUGGAUCACUAUAGGUCAGAUUUUUUUAAAGUGUUGGAUGGUGUGGAGGUUCAGUUUGGCGACCGUUUUGACCAGGACAGUCUAAACAUUCUGCAAAAGUUGGAAAGAGUACUUCUCACGGGGGAGUUGGAUGAGUCUCUAGAUCAGUACCCUGAGCUGAACAUAGAUUAUCUUUCAGUACUUUUGUUCAGUAGUGUGUAUAGCAGUGGUUCUCAAUCGUUUUUGAGUACUGGAACCCCUGCAUCUUUUGAGGAAAGGCGGGCAAGGUUUUGAGUGGUCCUCAGGGACCUCCACCCUCUCUAUAUGAUAUGUAAAGUUAGUGGAAUCCUUGUUCUGCUGAAUACGUUCAUUACACUUUUUUAUUUCAUGGACCCCUUGCCAUUACACCAAGGACCCCUAGGGGUCCACCUACCCUGUUUGAGGACCCCUGGUGUAUAGUAUGAUAUUUGUUAUUAUGUUUAGUAGUUUUUAGUACAUGACAGUACACUUACUAAUAUUUAAUUUAAUAUAAAAUAUUUUGGUUGAUUUAUUUGGGUUUUUCAUUGAAGUAGUUAUUUUGCUUUUAGAACUGUACUUAUUCUGAGCAUUUUGUUCUCGUAAAGAUGUUGCAAUAGACUCAAACCAGUGGCACAUAUUUAAUGACUAUAUAAAUGAAUCAGAAAAAGUUAAAUAAAAAGGUCAGUUCAGUGCAGAGACCAACUUCAUGAUGGUUCUCAAUGGAGAUUCUUUGAGAUGAGAUCGCACCAUGUUCAUUAUAUUUAUGAAACCUGCACCCAUACAGUGUACAGUACCAUUACUACCUACUGGCCUUGCUUGGUAUUGCUGGUUGUAAAUACAAAUACCUGCAUACAUACUGGACUGAUAAGGAACACUGCUAUAACUAUUAUUAUUAUUAGUAUUAUAAUGAUUUAAACAUUUUAACAAGUUGGGACAACCCUUCAGUUAACCACUGUACCUAUCAAUUAUCCAGUAGUAGUAAUUAUGGUUCCUCAAUAUACAUGUAACAUAUUACAAUGGAGGCUAUGUGUUACAGCACUGCUUUUGGUGUCCCCCUCAGGAAUUGCUCUUGAGAAAAUGUAAUGUAAUUGUACCCUCCAAAGUU